AUGGAGUAGUUAAACUUGGAGGAUGAAGUCUUUGAUGAUCUGGUGAUUGACGAGAAUGAUCCUGAGAUCAAUGAGAGCGUCAGGUGGCUAGCCCUUGCUAGGGUUCACACGGACAAAACCUUCAGCUCGCCAGCCUUCUACAAGGAUAUGCGGGCGACAUGGAAUCCUGCCCAACAAGUAAAAUUUCGUCAUGUCGGCCCAAACUUGUUCGUUGUUCAGGCCGCGUGCCUCGGCGACUGGGAA
rnacentral:rRNA from 1 species